rnacentral:rRNA from 1 species
AAGAUUUAUCGCUGAGAGAUCGGCCCGCGUCUGAUUAGCUAGUUGGUGAGGUAAAGGCUCACCAAGGCGACGAUCAGUAGCUGGUCUGAGAGGAUGAUCAGCCACAUUGGGACUGAGACACGGCCCAAACUCCUACGGGAGGCAGCAGUGGGGAAUAUUGGACAAUGGGCGCAAGCCUGAUCCAGCCAUGCCGCGUGAGUGAUGAAGGCCUUAGGGUUGUAAAGCUCUUUCGUCCGGGACGAUNAUGACGGUACCGGAAGAAGAAGCCCCGGCUAACUUCGUGCCAGCAGCCGCGGUAAUACGAAGGGGGCUAGCGUUGUUCGGAAUCACUGGGCGUAAAGGGCGCGUAGGCGGCCUGAUAAGUCGGGGGUGAAAGCCUGUGGCUCAACCACAGAAUUGCCUUCGAUACUGUUAGGCUUGAGACCGGAAGAGGUAAGUGGAACUGCGAGUGUAGAGGUGAAAUUCGUAGAU